UCUCUCUCGCUCCCCAUCUACCGCCCCGAGAUUUCGAUCCCAAAUUGUGCGCCGCCGCCAUCCCUCUGCUCACCAUAGCUGCCGCCAUGGCAGCUCACAUCGCGGUUCUCCCCGUACAACCCCGGGCGACCUGGGCUCCCGCCGCCUCCCGGCUCGAUGCAGAUCCAUACGGCGACGGUCGAGGCUGAAGCCGGCGGUGGUGAUGGAGGACCAACUCCACGGUCACUGCCAUGCCCUAGAGACUCGCCUGUGUACCGCCGCCGUUGCAGUCAGAGCGUGGACCGGCUGCAGCAACGACGAUGCACAAACCGAGGAGGGAGGCGACCUGUACAUGCCCGACCAGGAGGAGCUCGUCCACAACCACCACGGCGCCCACCAAAAGGUCAAUCACAUGAUCCCUUGCAUUGACAAAGGCUUUGAUGCACUGCACCACAUAGUUCGCUUGACGAAUGAAGGCCUACUAGUCAGGCCAAACAAUUUUCGAGACAUGAGAAUUCUUGGCCAAUUAUUGUUCUAAUGUACUUUAUGCGUGGUCUACUCCUUCAAUCUCAAGCUAAUAGUAUGGAGACGCGCUGCACUGGGCCAAGACAGCCCUUGGCGGAGAUGAAGCUGUAACAGCAUGGCGGGUACGGAGGAUCGCUGCCAUCCCACGAACUGAUGAAUUUCAAUUUUAACUUGGAGUACUUCUGGUCUUUUAUUUUUCCUCCAUUUCUUACCCUAAUGAGAAUCACCGAUUCCCGCAGAUAUAUUUCACGGCAUGAUGCUACAUAACCCCUUCAAAGGUUCAUUGUAGAGUCUGUAAUAGGUAGACUUUGUUAAUUUUCGAAGAUAAGAUACAUUCAUAUAUAUAAUACAAUCAAAUAUGAUUGUUGAACACAUAUAAAAUAUAAAUAUUUUGUACUUUGCAUACUACUAAUCUCUGGGCCAUCAUGAAUAAUCAACCCAGUCUACUUGUCUAAAUUUUCUGAUCAACUCUCAAGUAGUCAAGCUAAAGGAACAAAUGAGUCUUGCAAGAUUGCACACCAUUAUUUUUCGACUUGCGUUUUCCUUGUUUUUGCAUCACAUUAAAGUGAAUACUCAAGAUGUUCAUUGGCAGAUAAGUGACCAAUGAGAACCACCUUCCCGCCUAAGGAUCAUGUUGGAUCCCAACUCAGCAAACAAUUGUAGCCUCACAACGAGUUCAGCCUCCACUCCAAGGCCACCAUCGGCGUUGAGUUUCAGACCAAGACACUACAGAUCGACUUAGGUGUUGGCACAAGGACCAGUCAAGAACUUGGUUGAACAUUUUCCCCUUAUUUUGGACAAUCAAAUCGGGGAUGAACUCAACCUAAGUGGAUCUUGGCAUUCGAUUCACAUUUCAUUUUGCGUGUUUAACUCAUAAAUUAACCUAUGUUUUGCUUACAGUGCUGCACCUGGCCAUCACUAUGAUCCCUGACAACAAUGGGGCUUUAUAUGUUGCAGGUAAACUACAUUCCUGGGCCGGCAGCCGCCAGAAGUGCCUACAAUCUGAGGAGCACAAGAUGCCGUGCUGGUUACGGAGCACACAAUGCACCUGGUUUAGGAACACCACGCGCGCUCUGUUGAUGAUGUAUCUGGAUGGCGUGGUGGCCACGGUGGGGGCCGGUGGGCGAGGCAGAGCGGGCAGCAAGGGAGCUGCUAGAUGCGGGGAACGGCCGGCGGGGGAGCUUGCGGGGAACGACCGGCAGGGGAGCUCGCCUCUGCUCCCUAGAGGCCCCGCCUCCUCUGGUCCUGGAGCGGUUGCGGAUGGGCCGGCAGGGUGCGGGCUCCCGUCUACAUCGAGCGCGCGUGCCCAGCUCCGUUGCGGCGCCGGACAGGGACGGAGCUCCGGCACGGGAUGUGGACGUCGGGAUCAAGAUGGACUUUUGUUUGAGGACCACAGCUGAGAAGAAUAGAACUCGCGAGGGGGUUUUCACAAAAUGAUAGUUGUGUAGGUGUCGAGUCAUCUAAAUCGGGCCAGAGGGAGUACCUUUUCAUACUUAUUGUUGUUGUAGAAGAAGCACAUGGCAUAUUUUAUUUUAUUAGCAGAUUUUCUUUACGUUUGUCUUGUUACACCAAUCGCAUGAAAUAGAUUUCCAUGCUGUAAUGAAAUAUCUUGUGAGAUAGUUAAUUUGCAUUCUAUAUCACCUCAUGGAAGAAAUAAAUGUUUGUACGAAAUUUUGUUUGAUUUGCAUGCCUUCAUAGUUUUCCUUUUCUUGCACUUGCUAUGAAAUUAUAACUUUCUAUGCUUUGGGUGUACAAAUGAACUAUGCAAUCCAUUGGUAUAUUAACUUCAAAUGUUGGAUAGUCAGAUGUAUGUAUGCAUUCUACUGUUGGUAUGCAUGGAUUGCACUUCUCCUAGAGGCAUCAAAUGUACUUUAGUUUACUGCAUAGUCCCCCUUUUAUUUAUUGUCCUUUUUUUUUACUUUUGCUAGAAAUUACAGAAGUCGCUAUGGUCCCUGUCUAUUUUCCUGGGUAGUUGGUUUGCCCUUGCUAAAUUGACAGACUGUUUGUUUACCACCGCCGCAAGCAAUCUACAAAUUGUGUUGACUUACCUUAGUAAUGAAGUUAUUGUCUCUUCUUGUGGAUGUGAACUAGUUCCUGUUUAUAGAGGCGGCCACCUUGUGGCCUUCUCAUACAUGCUACCCAUGGUAAAACAUUGGUAAUUUGCAUAUGUAAUUGGAGAAAAAUCUUCGACAAGUCAUUCUUACAUACCCUAUGUUGCUCAUAUGUAGUCUACAUUUCCCCAAGAUUUCAAUCCUUAAUGAAGAUUAUCAUUAUAACACUCGAUCCUCUCUCAAAUGGU